rnacentral:rRNA from 1 species
AACGAACGCUGGCGGCAUGCCUAACACAUGCAAGUCGAACGAGACCUUCGGGUCUAUUGGCGCACGGGUGCGUAACGCGUGGGAACCUGCCCUUAGGUUCGGAAUAACUCCCCGAAAGGGGUGCUAAUACCGCAUAAUGUCUUCGGACCAAAGAUUUAUCGCCUUUGGAUGGGCCCGCGUUGGAUUAGCUAGUUGGUAGGGUAAAAGCCUACCAAGGCGACGAUCCAUAGCUGGUCUGAGAGGAUGAUCAGCCACACUGGGACUGAGACACGGCCCAGACUCCUACGGGAAGCAGCAGUGGGGAAUAUUGGACAAUGGGCGAAAGCCUGAUCCAGCAAUGCCGCGUGAGUGAUGAAGGCCUUAGGGUUGUAAAGCUCUUUUACCCGGGAUGAUAAUGACAGUACCGGGAGAAUAAGCUCCGGCUAACUCCGUG